UCGACGAGAGGACAUGGGAAGCUUGCUUCCUAUGAAAUCGAGUGGCAAACGGGUGAGUAACGCGUAAACAACCUGCCCUUCGGAUGGGGAUAACAGCCGGAAACGGCUGCUAAUACCGAAUACGAUCUUUUCGUCGCAUGACGGAAAGAAGAAAGGAUGGCCUCUAUACAAAGCUAUCGCCGAAGGAGGGGUUUGCGUCUGAUUAGCUGGUUGGAGGGGUAACGGCCCAACAAGGCGAUGAUCAAUAGCCGGUCUGAGAGGAUGAACGGCCACAUUGGGACUGAGACACGGCCCAGACUCCUACGGGAGGCAGCAGUGGGGAAUCUUCCGCAAUGGACGAAAGUCUGACGGAGCAACGCCGCGUGAGUGAAGAAGGUCUUCGGAUUGUAAAGCUCUGUUAUACGGGACGAAAAAGACGGAUGCCAACAGUAUCCGUCCGUGACGGUACCGUAAGAGAAAGCCACGGCUAACUACGUGCCAGCAGCCGCGGUAAUACGUAGGUGGCAAGCGUUGUCCGGAAUUAUUGGGCGUAAAGGGCGCGCAGGCGGUUCGGUAAGUCUGUCUUAAAAGUGCGGGGCUUAACCCCGUGAGGGGACGGAAACUGUCGAACUUGAGUGUCGGAGAGGAAAGCGGAAUUCCUAGUGUAGCGGUGAAAUGCGUAGAUAUUAGGAGGAACACCGGUGGCGAAANNNGCUUUCUGGACGACAACUGACGCUG
rnacentral:rRNA from 1 species